rnacentral:rRNA from 1 species
AUUGGACGCUGGCGGCAUGCUUUACACAUGCAAGUCGAACGGCAGCGCGGGCUUCGGCCUGGCGGCGAGUGGCGAACGGGUGAGUAAUACAUCGGAACGUGCCCAGUAGUUGGGGAUAGCUCGGCGAAAGCCGGAUUAAUACCGCAUCCGACCUGAGGGUGAAAGCGGGGGAUCUUCGGACCUCGCGCUAUUGGAGCGGCCGAUGGCAGAUUAGCUAGUUGGUGGGGUAAAGGCCUACCAAGGCGACGAUCUGUAGCUGAUCUGAGAGGACGACCAGCCACACUGGGACUGAGACACGGCCCAGACUCCUACGGGAGGCAGCAGUGGGGAAUUUUGGACAAUGGGCGAAAGCCUGAUCCAGCAAUGCCGCGUGUGUGAUGAAGGCCUUCGGGUUGUAAAGCACUUUUGGCGGGAACGAAAAGGACUGUGCCAAUACCACGGUUCGAUGACGGUACCCGCAGAAUAAGCACCGGCUAACUACGUG